UCCCCUCCCCCUCCCUUUUCCAGAAUGUUCCGGGUGCCUCCCAGGGCCUGGACCAAUCACGGCGCUCGUUGUUGGUGACGUCAUCCUGACGCUCUUGAUUGCGGGCGGAGCUUAUUGGCUGGCAUGGCGGAGCCGCAGAGCCCCGCCCAAGCCCCGCCCUCCGGAGCCGGACUCGCACUACCAGGAGCUGCAGGGCGCGCGCGGGGACAUCUACAGCGAGCUCAAGCGCUGAGCGCCGCCUCCCCCGCGGCCUCCGCCCUCUAUUGCCGCCAUUAAAGCGCUUUUUGCCCCUUCCGCAGCCAUUUUUGUCCGUUUUUCGCUGAUUUCGCCCCAAUUCCGCCUUUGUUUAUUAAUAACGGGGAAGUGCUGUCGCGCUGAGUGACGUCACUGCGCCGCGCCGGAAGUGCUCUUCAGGCGGGCGGAAGUGGCCGUGGCCGUUCCAGCCAUGGCGGCGGCGGCGGCUCCCGGAGCGGCGGGACCGGGAAUGGCGGCGGGAGCGGGGCCCGGUGCCGCGGUGGUGGCGGCGGGGCCCGGAGUGGUGGCGGGAGGCGGCGGGGCCGCGGUGAAGAGCGGCGAGGAGCGGCUGAAGGAAAUGGAGGCGGAGAUGGCGCUGUUCGAGCAGGAAGUGCUGGGCGCUCCAGGCCCCGCCCCCGGGGACCCUUUGGCUCCGCCCCCCGUCCUGCGCCCGAUCAUCGCCACCAACACCUACCAGCAGGUGUGUCACUAAAUGUCACCAAAAUGUCCCCAAAUGUCACCAAAAUGUCACCAAAAUGUCCCCAAAUGUCACCCCAGGGUCACCUUGGUGUCACCUCAGUGUC
rnacentral:lncRNA from 1 species